rnacentral:rRNA from 1 species
AUUGAACGCUGGCGGCAGGCUUAACACAUGCAAGUCGAGCGGGGUGAUGGUGCUUGCACUAUCACUUAGCGGCGGACGGGUGAGUAAUGCUUAGGAAUCUGCCUAUUAGUGGGGGACAAUAUCUCGAAAGGGAUGCUAAUACCGCAUACGUCCUACGGGAGAAAGCAGGGGAUCACUUGUGACCUUGCGCUAAUAGAUGAGCCUAAGUCGGAUUAGCUAGUUGGUGGGGUAAAGGCCUACCAAGGCGACGAUCUGUAGCGGGCCUGAGAGGAUGAUCCGCCACACUGGGACUGAGACACGGCCCAGACUCCUACGGGAGGCAGCAGUGGGGAAUAUUGGACAAUGGGGGGAACCCUGAUCCAGCCAUGCCGCGUGUGUGAAGAAGGCCUUAUGGUUGUAAAGCACUUUAAGCGAGGAGGAGGCUCUUUUGGUUAAUACCCAAGAUGAGUGGACGUUACUCGCAGAAUAAGCACCGGCUAACUCUGUGCCAGCAGCCGCGGUAA